CCCUGCCCUUCGGAUGGGGAUAACAGCCGGAAACGGCUGCUAAUACCGAAUACGAUCUUUUCGUCGCAUGACGGAAAGAAGAAAGGAUGGCCUCUAUACAAAGCUAUCGCCGAAGGAGGGGUUUUGCAUCUGAUUAGCUGGUUGGAGGGAUAACGGCCCAACAAGGCGACGAUCAGUAGCCGGUCUGAGAGGAUGAACGGCCACAUUGGGACUGAGACACGGCCCAGACUCCUACGGGAGGCAGCAGUGGGGAAUCUUCCGCAAUGGACGAAAGUCUGACGGAGCAACGCCGCGUGAGUGAAGAAGGUCUUCGGAUUGUAAAGCUCUGUUAUACGGGACGAAAAAGACGGAUGCCAACAGUAUCCGUCCGUGACGGUACCGUAAGAGAAAGCCACGGCUAACUACGUGCCAGCAGCCGCGGUAAAU
rnacentral:rRNA from 1 species